rnacentral:rRNA from 1 species
UACAGAGGUCUCGAGCGUUAGGCGGAAUCACUGGGCUUAAAGCGUGUGUAGGUGGAUCGUUAAGUACCUUGUGAAUCCCACGGCUUAACCGUGGAACUGCUUGGUAUACUGGCGGUCUUGAGCCAGCUAGGGGCUACCGGAACAAAUGGUGGAGCGGUGAAAUGACGUAGAUAUCAUUUGGAACGCCAAUGGUGAAAACAGGUAGCUGGGGCUGAUGGCUGACCACUGAGACACGAAAGCCAGGGGAGCAAACGG